rnacentral:rRNA from 1 species
GACGAACGCUGGCGGCGUGCUUAACACAUGCAAGUCGAACGAUGAAGCCGGAGCUUGCUCUGGUGAAUUAGUGGCGAACGGGUGAGUAACACGUGAGUAACCUGCCCUUGACUCUGGAAUAACUGCUAGAAAUGGUAGCUAAUACCGGAUACGACCCUCGGAGGCAUCUCCAGGGGGUGGAAAGAAUUUCUGUACAGGAGGGACUCGCGGCCUAUCAGCUAGUGGGGUAGGUGACGGCUCACCAAGGCGACGACGGGUAGCCGGCCUGAGAGGGUGACCGGCCACACUGGGACUGAGACACGGCCCAGACUCCUACGGGAGGCAGCAGUGGGGAAUAUUGCACAAUGGGCGCAAGCCUGAUGCAGCAACGCCGCGUGAGGGAUGACGGCCUUCGGGUUGUAAACCUCUUUUAGUAGGGAAGAAGCGAAAGUGACGGUACCUGCAGAAAAAGCACCGGCUAACUACGUGCCAGCCGCCGCCGUAA